rnacentral:rRNA from 1 species
CCUACGGGUGGCUGCAGUGAGGAAUAUUGGUCAAUGGGCGCGAGCCUGAACCAGCCACGUAGCGUGAAGGAUGACUGCCCUACGGGUUGUAAACUUCUUUUAUAAAGGAAUAACGUGAGGCACGUGUGCCUUUUUGUAUGUACUUUAUGAAUAAGGAUCGGCGAACUCCGUGCCAGCAGCCGCGGUAAUACGGAGGGUGCGAGCGUUAAUCGGAAUUACUGGGCGUAAAGCGCUCGUAGGCGGUAUGUCAAGUCAAGAGUGAAAGCCCGGGGCUCAACGUGGGAACUGCCUUUGAAACUGGCAGACUGGAGUGUGGGAGAGGUUAGUGGAAUUCCAGGUGUAGCAGUGAAAUGCGUAGAUAUCAGGAGGAACAUCAGUGGCGAAGGCGACUAUCUGGCACGUAACUGACGCUGAGGCGCGAAAGCGUGGGUAGCAAACAGGAUUAGAUACCCGGGUAGUC